CUUAUUUUAUUUACGCAAAUACUACACUUUUGCGAUUUGUGCUCAUACAAUUUUGUAGUUUUUAUUAAGUUAAAAAUAUAGAAGUCGUACAAGUUACUCUGCGUCUUUAAUUUCAUUAUUCCCGAAAAUCCGCUGUGAUUACUCCAGAACAUGGUCCUAUAUCGAAGCCGGAUGUGAAUUAAAUGCGGAUCAGUUAUUAUUUUGUGGAAUUAAAUCGAAAUACAAGAAAUAAAAGAGAAAUUAAUUGGAUGCAAGUUGACCGGCAGAACUACCUACCAUUGGAUGUGAAUCGAGUGUAAUUUAUAGUGGUGUUAAGUAUAAAUUACUAUAUAAUAAACUUAUCCCAACACUCUACAGGUAAUAUUAUAAGUAAAUCAAAAACUUUAUUAAGGUCGACAACACUCGAAUCCCAUAAUGACCGAAGAAAAGGAGUUAAUAAAAAAGCGAGGCAGUUUUAAAGGCCGUUUAACUGCAUUUAUUAAUUAUUUGCAUACACUAACUGAUGAACCGUUAAGUCUCUCGGAUGCCAGAGAAUUACAAUUACGUAUGGGUAAAAUUGAGUCGUUGUAUGAACAGUAUGAUCAGUUCAUGGCAGUCAUCCACAUCAGAAUUCCAAUACAGCAGAAUCACAUAAUCGAAUCUGCCCUAAGUGUAAGGGUGACCAUAGUCUAACCGGUUGCCCCCAGUUUCUUGCGUUGAGCGUUGAAGCGCGCCUAAAGGUACU